rnacentral:misc_RNA from 1 species
AAAAAAAAAAAAAAAAGAAUAAUAGCCCAGGAGAGGGAUUCUUCCCCUCCAAGGACUCCUUGCCUUUGGGAAUCCUGUGGCACAAUCAAAAUCCGUAUAAUAAUUAUUAUAUUCAUCAAGAGGAAUGGUGUGAUGAGCUUUCAACAACAAUGAUUUCUUUUUCCAUCUAAUUUCCAUUAUUCUCCUUACCAUCCUCUCCUGUGACCAACAGUUGUUCAUGGAGAGCUAGGAGGUGAUAAUUUGGUGGAAUUAAUAUAUAAAAUCCAAGUGAGCGCGCUGGUUUUAAUGAUUUUAGCCUGCUCUGUAGCGGACGCUGUCUAGAUGAUAGGAGCGAAGACAAAAGCAAGGGUACGAUGCAAACAGUAAUUGAUCCUUUAUGAACCAUCCUUGUUCAACCAACAGAAGUUUGACCUUAUGCCCCCAACUUCACAACGUUACUCUCUCUCUUUCUGUGUGUGUGUGCACGUGCAUGUGGGGUUAUCCAACUCGAUUAUAGAAAUUUAGAUAUUGUGGUUU